rnacentral:rRNA from 1 species
UGGGGAAUCUUGCGCAAUGGGCGAAAGCCUGACGCAGCCAUGCCGCGUGUAUGAUGAAGGUCUUAGGAUUGUAAAAAUACUUUCACCGGUGAAGAUAAUGACUGUAGCCGGAGAAGAAGCCCCGGCUAACUUCGUGCCAGCAGCCGCGGUAAUACGAAGGGGGCUAGCGUUGCUCGGAAUUACUGGGCGUAAAGGGAGCGUAGGCGGACAUUUAAGUCAGAGGUGAAAUCCCGGAGCUUAACUUCGGAACUGCCUUUGAUACUGGGUGUCUUGAGUGUGAGAGAGGUAUGUGGAACUCCGAGUGUAGAGGUGAAAUUCGUAGAUAUUCGGAAGAACACCAGUGGCGAAGGCGACAUACUGGCUCAUUACUGACGCCGAGGCUCGAAAGCGUGGGGAGCAAACAGGAUUAGAUACCCCCGUAGUCCCUGAGCGGGCUGGCAAGGCGCAU